rnacentral:rRNA from 1 species
AGCAGCCGCGGUAAUUCCAGCUCCAAUAGCGUAUAUUAAAGUUGUUGCAGUUAAAAAGCUCGUAGUUGAAUUUCGGAAUCUGUCCGUCGGUCGGGCUUCACUGUCCGUACUGGUGUGGUGGGUUCUUACCUUCUGAAUAACCAGCAUGCCAUUUAUUUGGUGCGCUGGGGAAGCAGGACUAUUACCUUGAAAAAAUUAGAGUGCUCAAAGCAGGCUAGUGCCUGAAUACAUUAGCAUGGAAUAAUAAAAUAGGACGGCAUGGUUCUAUUUUGUUGGUUUCUAGGAUCACCGUAAUGAUUAAUAGGGAUAGUUGGGGGCAUUAGUAUUCAAUUGUCAGAGGUGAAAUUCUUGGAUUUAUUGAAGACUAACUUCUGCGAAAGCAUUUGCCAAGGAUGUUUUCAUUAAUCAAGAACGAAAGUUAGGGGAUCGAAGACGAUCAGAUACCGUCGUAGUCUUAACCAUAAACUAUGCCGACUAGGGAUCGGACGAUGUUAAUUUUUAAUGACUCGUUCGGCGUCCG